rnacentral:rRNA from 1 species
UUGAUCCUGCCGGACCUUACUGCUAUCGGGUGAAGACUAAGCCAUGCGAGUUGCGCUUCCCCUAGCCACGUUGGGGACGCAGCACACGGCUCCAUAACACGUAGCUAAUCUGCCCUUGGGACGGGUAUAACCCUGGGAAACUGGGGCUAAUUCCCGAUAAGCGCAGUGGCCUGGAAUGGUACUGCACCUAAAGGGCCCCAGGAACAUGCUCUUGGAGUCGCCCAAGGAUGAGGCUGCGGCCGAUCAGGUUGUUGGUGGGGUAACGGCCUACCAAGCCUAUAACCGGUACGGGCCCUGAGAGGGGUGGCCCGGAGAUGGGAACUGAGACAAGGUCCCAGGUCCUACGGGGCGCAGCAGGCGCGAAAACUCCACAAUGCGCGAAUGCGUGAUGGGGUUAGCCCGAGUGCCGUCCGAUGAGGAUGGCUUUUCUUCAGUUUAAGGAGCUGGAGGAAUAAAGGGGGGGCAAGACUGGUGUCAGCCGCCGCGGUAAUACCAGCCCCCUGAGUGGUAAGGACGAUUAUUUGGCCUAAAGCGUCCGUAGCCGGCUUGGUAAGUCUUCCGUUAAAUCCGACGAUUCCAUCGCCGGACCGCGGAAGAUACUGCUAGGCUUGAGGACGGGAGAGGUCGACGGUAGUCCCGGGGUAGGGGUGAAAUCCUAUAAUCCCGGGAGGACCACCAGUGGCGAAGGCGGUCGACUAGAACGUGCCUGACGGUGAUGGACGAAAGCUGGGGGAGCGAACCGGAUUAGACACCCGGGUAGUCCCAGCUGUAAACGAUGCGAGCUAGGUGUUGGAGCAACUACGGGUUGCUCCAGUGCCGCAGAAAAGUUGUUAAGCUCGCCGCCUGGGAAGUACGGCCGCAAGGCUGAAACUUAAAGGAAUUGGCGGGGGAGCACUACAAGGGUGAAGCCUGCGGUUCAAUUGGAGUCAACGCGG